UGUGGUCAUACGUACAGACUAUUUCCAGUCCUAUCCCAUUAAAGUCAAAGCCUGUCAAGGCAAUUAUUAUGUCUAUGAGUUUGUUAAACCAACUACCUUUAAUAUGGCAUACUGUGCAGGAAUAAAUAUCGCACUGAUGGAGGAAUGCAAGAGUCAGAACACAGGAGGAUGUGUAGAGAAUCUUCUUAACCAGAUUGAGAACAUUACAGCUGAAGUACUUCCUUUGGACGCAAGUCUUUAAGAUAGAGAUGAGAAAAAAAUAAAAAAAC